rnacentral:rRNA from 1 species
CAUGUCUUUUUGAUUAUAAUUUAAAGUCUAACCUGCCCAAUGAGGAGUUAAAUGGCCGCAAUAUUUUGAUUGUGCAAAGGUAGCAUAAUAAUUAGUUUUUUAAUUGAGAACUGGUAUGAAUGGUUGGACGAGAAAAAAACUGUCUCAAUUUAAAUUUAAUUAGAAUUUUAUUUUUAAGUUAAAAAGCUUAAAUAAUUUUAAAAGACGAGAAGACCCUAUAGAGUUUUAUAUAUUUUUUAUAUUUAAUAUUUUAAGUAUUAUUAUUUAUUAAUUUUAAAAAUUAUAUUUGAUUGGGGUGAUUGAAAAAUUUAAUAAACUUUUUUUAAUUUAUAUCAUUUAUUUAUGUAUAAUUGAUCCAUAUUUUUAUGAUUAUAAGAUUAAAUUACCUUAGGGAUAACAGCGUAAUUUUUUUUGAGAGUUCUUAUCGAAAAAAAAGAUUGCGACC